rnacentral:rRNA from 1 species
GGCGGCAGCUGGGCUCGGCUGUCCUGGCGGGGAAGGAAGCUGCAGGAGCACGACCUAGCUGGAGCAGAAGGGAAACAGAGGAAGCAGGGCGGUCUGCCGGCGGAAACAGAGCAGCAGCCGGGCAACGUGAAAUCGCAGUCACCACGGCCGCGGUUCGCGCCGGAGUUCGAUGGGAUCGACUGCUUCGAGACCAUCGUGUGCCAUUGA